UACGGAGGGUGCAAGCGUUAAUCGGAAUUACUGGGCGUAAAGCGCGCGUAGGCGGUUAAUUAAGUCAGAUGUGAAAGCCCUGGGCUCAACCUGGGAACUGCAUUUGAAACUGGUUAACUAGAGUAUGGUAGAGGAGAGUGGAAUUUCAGGUGUAGCGGUGAAAUGCGUAGAGAUCUGAAGGAACACCAGUGGCGAAGGCGGCUCUCUGGACCAAUACUGACGCUGAGGUGCGAAAGCGUGGGUAGCAAACGGG
rnacentral:rRNA from 1 species